rnacentral:rRNA from 1 species
GACAGAGGGUGCGAACGUUGCUCGGAAUCACUGGGCGUAAAGCGCGCGUAGGCGGACCGGAAAGUCGGUUGUGAAAUCCCUGGGCUCAACCCAGGAACUGCAUCCGAAACUCCCGGUCUCGAGUGACGGAGAGGAUAGUGGAAUUCCCGGUGUAGAGGUGAAAUUCGUAGAUAUCGGGAGGAACACCAGUGGCGAAGGCGGCAACCUGGACAGAUAUUGACGCUGAGGUGCGAAAGCGUGGGGAGCAAACAGG